rnacentral:rRNA from 1 species
AAGACGUGCGCAGGCGGUUAUGUAAGACAGAUGUGAAAUCCCCGGGCUCAACCUGGGAACUGCAUUAGUGACUGCAUAGCUGGAGUACGGCAGAGGGGGAUGGAAUUCCGCGUGUAGCAGUGAAAUGCGUAGAUAUGCGGAGGAACACCGAUGGCGAAGGCAAUCCCCUGGGCCUGUACUGACGCUCAUGCACGAAAGCGUGGGGAGCAAACAGGAUUAGAUACCCGUGU